rfam:Mycoplasmataceae bacterium RC_NB112A Contig_1, whole genome shotgun sequence.
AAAUAAGUUACUAAAAGUGGAUGGUGGAUACCUUGGGACUAAUAGGCGAUGAAGGACGUAAUAAAGUGCGAUAAGCUUCGGGGAGGGAACUAUGAACCGGAGAUUUCCGAAUGGGGUAACCUGCUACCAGUAAUGUGGUAGUGUCUAAGAAGUUAAAACCUCUUGGGAGCGAACCUGACGAACUGAACCAUCUUAGUAGUCAGAGGAAAAGAAAACAACCGUGAUUCCCCCAGUAGUGGCGAGCGAAAAGGGAACAGCCUAAACCACCAAGGAGUUACAAAAGUUAUUUAUAGAAGAAUUAGGUGGAAAACUAAACCAUAGAAAGUGAAAGUCUUGUAUUCGAAAUAGAUAACUCUUCUGGUUUAAUAAGUACCGCGGAACACGAGAAAUUUUGUGGGAAGGGAAUAAUCCAGCGGGGACCACCCCGUAAGGCUAAAUACUCAUUAGUCACCGAUAGUGAACUAGUACCGUGAGGGAAAGGUGAAAAGAACUUCCGAGUGAAAUAGAACGUGAAACCAUCACACUUACAAGAGGUCAAAGGGCUUUCAUAAAGCCUAAUGGCGUGCUUUUUGCAGAAUGAGCCGGCGAGUUAUGCCGAUUGGCAAGGUUAAGUUUUUUCAAAAUGGAGCCAUAGCGAAAGCGAGUUUUAACAGAGCGUUAAGUCAAUCGUCAUAGACCCGAAACUAGGUGAGCUAACCAUGAGCAGGUUGAAGUGGAGGUAAAACUUCAUGGAGGACCGAACCAGUGAACGUUGAAAAGUUCUUGGAUGACUUGUGGUUAGGAGUGAAAAGCUUAUCGAACCUAGAGAUAGCUGGUUCUCCCCGAUAUAGUUGUAGGACUAGCGCAGGAAUAAAUAAUGGGGGUAGAGCACUGAAUAUAGAAGGGCCCUUAACCGGGUACCAACUAUAAUUAAACUCCGAAUACCAUUUAUCUUUUUUCCUGUAGUCAGUCUACGGGGGAUAAGCUCCGUGGACGUGAGGGAAACAGCCCAGACUAUCGGCUAAGGUCCCUAAAUAGUAUUAAGUGUAGAAGGAAGUUGGGGCACGAAGACAGCUAGGAGGUUGGCUUGAUAGCAGUCCAUCCUUUAAAGAGUGCGUCAAAGCUCACUAGUCGAUUAGUGUUCCAGCACCGAGAAUUUAAGGGGGCUCAAAUACUAUACCGAAGCCAUAGGCUAAUUGGUAAUAAAAGAAUUAUUAAUGCAUCAAUGAAACAGGACAUAAUAAAAUUCAAAGUUAAAGUGUAUGACGCAAACCAUCAAGAAUUAGAAAAAGAAAUCGCUGUUGUCAUAAGUUAGAAUUAUUGAAAGCGGUUGAUGAUGGCAAAAAUUAUUAUUGAGAAAUAAAGCGUUACUUACGGCGCGGAAUAAACGAAGAAAACUACGGUUUGGAUUACUCUUAUCGAAAAUGCCUAAAUUGUGGUAAAAGCGAAGAAUUGCUUGAUUAUAAAAACUGAUUAUGUCCAAAAUGUCAUUGUAAAAGUCGAAGCAAAAAAGAUAAACAUUAAUAUUUUUCUAUUACCAAUUAGCGGUAGGGGAGCGUAGUAAGGCGAAAAAUUAAAGAAGUUAGACCGCGAGGACUAAUGGAGCCUUUACUAGUGAGAAUGCCGGCAUGAGUAACGAAAGAGGGUGCGAAUCCCUCUGGCCGUAAGACUAAGGUUUCCAGGGUCAAGUUCGUCUACCCUGGGUUAGUCGGGACCUAAGGCGAGGCUGAAAAGCGUAGUCGAUGGAUAACAGGUUAAUAUUCCUGUACUACUAUAAUUACUGAUGGAGUGACGAAGCCAGUUAGGGUAAACCAUUUAUUGAAUUAUGGUCUAACUGCUUAGAGGGGAUGGGACUAAAUCACCAUCCAUUACCUUGAGGCAGGAUAGGUAGGGCAACUGAAUUAUCUGAUACUUUGCUUCCAAGAAAAACUCCUAGGGUUAAUAAUUAUGGACUCGUACCGAGAACGAACACACGUAGUCUAGGAGAAUAUCCUCAGGCCAGCGAGAAAACUAUAGUUAAGGAACUCGGCAAAUUAGCCCCGUAACUUCGGAAGAAGGGGUGCCUAAGGUGAAACUUAGGUCGCAGUGAAGAGGCACCGGCAACUGUUUACCAAAAACACAGCUCUCUGCUAACUCGUAAGAGGAUGUAUAGGGGGUGACGCCUGCCCAGUGCUGGUAAGUUAAAGGGAGAAGUUAGCCAGCAAUGGCGAAGCCUCGAACCGAAGCUCCAGUGAACGGCGGCUGUAACUAUAACGGUCCAAAGGUAGCGAAAUUCCUUGUCAGGCAAGUUCUGACCCGCACGAAAGGCGUAAUGAUCGGUGCACUGUCUCGACUAUAGACUCGGUGAAAUUUUAUUACCGGUGAAGAUACCGGUUACCCACAAUUAGACGGAAAGACCCCGUGGAGCUUUACUAUAACUUGAUAUUGAACUUUCCUCUUGUCUGUGUCAUGGUAGGUGGGAGGCAAACUGAGCUUCGGCUCGGAGAGCCACAGGUGAGAGACCACCCGGAUGAGCGAAAAAUUCUAACUGGUUGGUUUACAGCCAACAGGACAGUGUCUGGUAGGUAGUUUGACUGGGGCGGUCGCCUCCUAAAGAGUAACGGAGGUGUUCAUAAGGUAUCCUCAAUAGGAAUAGAAAUCCUAUGUAGAGCGUAAAGGUAUAAGGAUGCUUAACUGUAAGAUUUACCAAUCGAACAGAUGCGAAAGCAGGACUUAGUGAUCUGGCGGUUACCUAGUGGUAGGGCCGUCACUUAACGGAUCAAAGUUACCCCGGGGAUAACAGGCUAAUACUUCCCGAGCGUCCAUAGCGACGGAAGUGUUUGGCACCUCGAUGUCGACUCAUCGCAUCCUGGAGGUGAAGAAGCUUCCAAGGGUUGGGCUGUUCGCCCAUUAAAGCGGUACGUGAGUUGGGUUCAGAACGUCGUGAGACAGUUUGGUCCCUAUCUGUUGUGGGCGCAGGAAAUUUGAGAAGCGCUGCUUUUAGUACGAAAGGAACUAAGUGGACUGACCAAUGGCGUACCAGUUGUCAUGUCAAUGGCACGGCUGGAUAACUAUGUCAGGAAUAGAUAAGCACUGAAAGCAUCUCAAGUGCGAAACUAACUUCAAGAUAAGAUCUCCCAUCCCGCGAGGGAGUAAGAUACCUUCCAGACUAGGAGGUUGAUAGGUAACAAGUGUAAGCAGAGUAAUCUGUGUAGCUUAGUUAUACUAAUAUAUCGAGGACUUAUUGAG